UUUUUCAGCCACCCUGAGGCAUAUGGAAGUUCUCAGGCCUGGGGUAAAUUUGGGCCACAUCUGCCACCUAAGCCACGGCUGCAGCAACUCCAGAUCCUUAACCCACUGUGCCACAGCGGGAACUCCAAAUGUUUUCUUUUUAAACUGCUGACACUGCUAAUGCACACACUCUAGCCUUUACAGUGGAAUUGCAUUUUAAGUGCAUUUAACAUACGGGAAUGCAAAUAUAAACAUGUGAGAGAAGAAACACUAGUAGUAAAUACUGACAUGAAACUAAUUACAUGCCAGCCCUGUUGCAAGCACUUCCUAUAAUUUAAUCUUUCAAAUAACCUAUUAGGUAGGUAUGAUUCCCAUUCCACAGAUGAGAAAAAAAGACACAGAGGUCAAAUAAAUUGUCCAUGGAUGUACAGCUAGGAAGUGGUGGGGCCAGGAUUUAAACCCAGGCAAUCCAAUUGCAGAGGGCUCUUAACCACAUGGCUGCAGUGGUCCUGCCCAUUGGCACCUCAAAGGGCUCAGGCCCCAGAGUGACUGUGGACGGGACCAUGAAUCUGUGCUCCCUGUUGGCUCGGUUUCCAGGUGCCUCACCUGGUGUACAUUGGGGGCCACUUAAGAGAUUUUUCAGCAGAAAUGUUGGCCAUCCAUGAUUUCUGCUGUGUGCACCAACAACAAGCCUCACCCCUGAGUAAGUGUAGGGCUCCUUGGAGCAGAAGUGCAAAAGUGCAAAGUGUCCACAUCACAGCACAUGUUUCGGGCUCAGGAAAACGUGGACUCUAAAUGAAGAUCUGAUACAGGUGCACUUGGUCUAGAAGAGGUCUCUGCAUGUGCAGGUUGAAAAUCAAAAUGUUAAGCUGGGUCUCCACAGCAAACCCAAGAGACUCCUGGGGCCCCUCCCUUAACUCUUGGAGGCGUUUUCCCCAAACAUGUGAGUGGGGAAGCCCUGGUGAGACAAGCUGCUCCCGCCUGCACACAUUCUCUCUCACACAUGGUGGUUUUCUCUCCAAAAUACAAAACCCUGCAGUUUGAGACACUUGAUACUCACAAAGGCGUCACCAUGGGGGCAGUAACACCACAUGGACCUCUUUCCCAGCAAACCAAAAAAUUGACUCAACAGAGCCAUAGAGAUUUUUUUGCAUUCCUGGCAGAAAAUUAUCUUGCACAACAUCUAAAUGACUAUUCCACUGGUGGGAGUUCCUGUUGUGGCUCAGGGGUAGGUAAUGAAUCCGACUGGUAUCCAUGAGGAUUCGGGUUCGAUCCCCGGCCUCACUCAGCAGGUUGAGGAUCCCGCAUUGCUUGUGGGGUCAUUCAGCAUUGGGAUCAACUCCCGGUCACAUCUGGGGUCCUUGGGUGAAUCACUCCAUUAGAGUAAGCGCAGUGCUGUACAAAUACGCAUACGACAACCCUGAGUCAUCGAAGAACACAUUCACGUCCACACCGCUCACUCUGCUACAGAAUCUGCUUCAGAAAACAAAACUGUGUGAAAUACUUUAAAAACACCCUGGCCCUAAACAGUGAAGAAGUUUUCCUGUGACGAGAGCGUGAAGCGUGGGCACUCAGAGGACACC
rnacentral:lncRNA from 1 species